AUUACGUAAAGAUCUUUAGAACAAGUCUAAUUGAAUUAGAUUCAGUUCGACUCAGAUUGGGAUUGAUAUGAUCAAACCCGAUUACAAGAAAAAUUUGAUCUUGAUUCGAUCAGGGUUUGGACUCGACUAAUUCUUAAUUGAUUAGAAAUUUGAUGAGAUAUUUAGAUUUUUAACUAAAUUAGAUUUAUUUCUAUCAGUAGUUUUAAUUUAAAUUUAAUUUGGAUUAUAAUUGAAUUAGAAAUAAAGAGUCCAAGUC
rnacentral:lncRNA from 1 species